UCCGUAGGCGGGCAAUUAAGUCAGAGGUGAAAUCCCACAGCUCAACUGUGGAACUGCCUUUGAUACUGGUUGUCUUGAGUUAAAGUGAAGUAGAUAGAAUAUGUAGUGUAGCGGUGAAAUGCAUAGAUAUUACAUAGAAUACCGAUUGCGAAGGCAGUCUACUAACUGUAUACUGACGCUAAUGGACGAAAGCGUGGGGAGUGAACAGGAUUAGAUACCCUGGUAGUCC
rnacentral:rRNA from 1 species